UGCGCAGGCGGAAUGAUAAGUCAGUGGUGAAAUCCUACAGCUCAACUGUAGAACUGCCAUUGAUACUGUCAUUCUUGAGUACAGUUGAAGUGGGCGGAAUGUAUCAUGUAGCGGUGAAAUGCAUAGAUAUGAUACAGAACUCCGAUAGCGAAGGCAGCUCACUAAACUGUAACUGACGCUCAGGCACGAAAGCGUGGGGAGCAAACAGGAUUAGAUACCCUGGUAGUCC
rnacentral:rRNA from 1 species